rnacentral:rRNA from 1 species
AUGGACGACGGCUCGUCAUGCCCGACCGACAGCGCCGGGCUUCUGCCGCCCUUCGCUGGCUCCCCGACGGCUGAGGGUCUCGAAGAGAAGCUGAGGCGAGUGCGCGAGGAGAACCGUCGGCUGGCCGGCACGCUCGGCGCCAUACUCGCCGAUCGCCCCGACCUGCGUGCUCUCGCGAGGGCGCCAGCGUCAGCCGUAGCCACCACUAGGGCGCCGAGCGCCUCUGCCUCCAAUGCAGCGAGGGAGGAGGCCGCCGGCGUGACGGUGGAGCCGCAGCCCAAGGUCAGGACGGUCUGCGCGCGCGCGGAGCCGGCCGACACCGACGCCAACCUCGGCGUCAAGGACGGGUACCAGUGGAGGAAGUACGGGCAGAAGGUGACGCGUGACAACCCGCACCCCAGGUCCUACUUCCGCUGCGCAUUUGCACCAUCUUGCCCCGUGAAGAAGAAGGUGCAGAGAGAUGCGGAGGACAGGUCAAAGCUAGUGGCGACCUACGAGGGCGAGCACAACCACGCUAAAUCCCCGGAGCGAGAAUUCGUCGGCAACGAGUCCACAGGCCACGCGGGGUCGCGGCCGUGCUCGGUCUCCAUUAACCCGUCCGGCUGCACGAUCAGGCUAGAAGAUAUGACGAACCAUGGGUCAGGAUCGAGGCUGGACCUGGAGACUAUCCGGAGGGAGGUUGUUACGCCUGAAUUUCAGAAGCUUCUAGUGGAGAAGAUGGUGAAUUCGCUCAAGAAUGAUGCAGAUUUCAUGCAUGCUCUAACAUAUGCGGUGGCUGAGAGAAUACUGGAAAAUAUUCCAGCCCGGCUAAGUUAA